UACGUAGGGUGCAAGCGUUGUCCGGAAUUAUUGGGCGUAAAGAGCUCGUAGGCGGUCUGUCGCGUCUGCUGUGAAAAUCAGGGCUCAACCCUGGACCUGCAGUGGGUACGGGCAGACUAGAGUGCGGUAGGGGAGAUCGGAAUUCCUGGUGUAGCGGUGAAAUGCGCAGAUAUCAGGAGGAACACCGGUGGCGAAGGCGGAUCUCUGGACCAGCACUGACACUGAGGCACGAAAGCGUGGGGAGCAAACAGG
rnacentral:rRNA from 1 species